GACGAACGCUGGCGGCGUGCUUAACACAUGCAAGUCGAACGGACAGGCCCUGCUUUUGUGGGGUGCUCGAGUGGCGAACGGGUGAGUAACACGUGAGUAACCUGCCCUUGACUUUGGGAUAACUCCAGGAAACUGGGGCUAAUACCGGAUAGGAGCUCCUGCUGCAUGGUGGGGGUUGGAAAGUUUCGGCGGUUGGGGAUGGACUCGCGGCUUAUCAGCUAGUUGGUGAGGUAGUGGCUUACCAAGGCUUUGACGGGUAGCCGGCCUGAGAGGGUGACCGGCGACAUGGGGACUGAGAGACGGCCCAGACUCCUACGGGAGGCAGCAGUGGGGAAUAUUGCACAAUGGGCGGAAGCCUGAUGCGGCAACGCCGCGUGCGGGAUGACGGCCUUCGGGUUGUAAACCGCUUUCGCCUGUGACGAAGCGUGAGUGACGGUAAUGGGUAAAAAAGCACCGGCUAACUACGUG
rnacentral:rRNA from 1 species